rnacentral:rRNA from 1 species
GUGAGGAAUAUUGGUCAAUGGGCGGGAGCCUGAACCAGCCAAGUCGCGUGAAGGAAGAAGGAUCUAUGGUUCGUAAACUUCUUUUGCAGGGGAAUAAAGUGCAGGACGUGUCCUGUUUUGUAUGUACCCUGAGAAUAAGGAUCGGCUAACUCCGUGCCAGCAGCCGCGGUAAUACGGAGGAUCCGAGCGUUAUCCGGCUUUAUUGGGUUUAAAGGGUGCGUAGGUGGUUUGAUAAGUCAGCGGUGAAAGUUUGCAGCUUAACUGUAAAAUUGCCGUUGAAACUGUCGAUCUUGGGUGCAAAUGAGGUAGGCGGAAUGCGUGGUGUAGCGGUGAAAUGCAUAGAUAUCACGCAGAACUCCGAUUGCGAAGGCAGCUUACUAAGCUACAACUGACACUGAAGCACGAAAGCGUGGGGAUCAAACAGGAUUAGAAACCCCUGUAGUCC